rnacentral:lncRNA from 1 species
GGGGCACGGGCCCUGCUGCAAACGGGCGCGCUCCCUUCUGGGCAAGCAGGUGCGAGGCGCGCGCCAUGGAACAGCCCUUAGCUGAGUUUCGGUUUGCGCGCAAACGGCCGGCCUGGCCGCCCAACGCAGCAUUUCCAGCCAGGGCGCACAAACCUCGGGAGAGAAGGUGGAAGCCGCAGGGGCUCUAAAGGCAGCCCCAGGUUGGCUAAAGCGGUUCCUGGUACGGACACCAAGGCCCCCGUGCUCGGGCCCUACCCAGCCUGGUUCAGCCCGCGAACCACGCAGCUCCGGAC